rnacentral:pre_miRNA from 1 species
CUCGGGGAGGAGGGAUCCCUCAGCUCAGAUUGUGAGAGGGUGCAGGCCAGGCCGAGGGACCCCAUCGGUGCAGG